AGCGGCAGACGGGUGAGUAACAUGUGGGAAUCUGCCUUUUGGUUCGGAACAACACGGGGAAACCUGUGCUAAUACCGGAUAAGUCCUAACGGAGAAAGUUUUAUGCACCAUUGGAUGAGCCCGCACUUGAUUAGUUUGUUGGUGAGGUAAUGGCUCACCAAGACUACAAUCAAUAGCUGAUUUGAGAGGAUGAUCAGCCACACUGGGACUGAGAUACGGCCCAGACUCC
rnacentral:rRNA from 1 species